UACGUAGGGUCCGAGCGUUGUCCGGAAUUACUGGGCGUAAAGAGCUCGUAGGUGGUUUGUCGCGUUGUUCGUGAAAACUCACAGCUCAACUGUGGGCGUGCGGGCGAUACGGGCAGACUAGAGUACUGCAGGGGAGACUGGAAUUCCUGGUGUAGCGGUGGAAUGCGCAGAUAUCAGGAGGAACACCGGUGGCGAAGGCGGGUCUCUGGGCAGUAACUGACGCUGAGGAGCGAAAACGUGGGGAGCGAACAGG
rnacentral:rRNA from 1 species